UAAUUAAUAUUAUUAAUAUAGUUUUUUUUAUUUAGAUUUUUUAUAAAAAUAAUUUAAUUUUUAUUUGUUUUAGUAUUUAGUAAAAAUAAAUUUUUAGAUUUAUAGUUUAUUAGUAUUGUGAAAGAAUUAUUUAAAUUUAAUAAAGAAUUAUUUUAGUACCUUUUGUAUCAGGGUUAAUUAAAAUUUUCAAAAUAAUUUUGAAUUCUCAAAAUUUAUAGAGUUAAUUUUAUUAUUAAUUUAUUGUUUUAUAAAUAUUUAAGAAAUAAUUUUAGUUUUGAAAUUUAAUUCGUUAUAUUAUAUUUAGUUAUUUAAGAUUUAAAUUUAAUUUAAAAUUUUAAAAGUUUAUUUAUAAUUUUAUUUAUAAAAUAUUUUAGAUUUAAAUUAUUUUAGGGAUAAGCUUGAAAUUUUUAUAUAAUAGUAAAAUUUAUUAAAUAAUUUUUAGGAAUAGAAAUUUUUAUUUAAGUUUGUAAAAAUUUAUUAUUUAUGUUUAUUUAAUUUAUUAUAAAUUAUUUAUUUUUAGUAUUAAAUUUUAAAAAUUAAUAAUUUAUUUUUAGUAAUAAUGAUUAAAUUAGUAUAAUGGAUUAUUUAUAAAUUAUGAAUUCGGCAAAAAUUAUUUUCAUCUGUUUAUCAAAAACAUAGUAUUAAGAUUUAUUUAAUAUAGAAUCUGCUCAAUGAGUAAAUUAAAUAGCUGCAGUAUUUUGACUGUGCAAAGGUAGCAUAAUAAUUAGUCUUUUAAUUGAAGACUAGAAUGAAAGAUUUGAUGAGAAAUAAACUUUAUUAUUUAUAUAAUUAAAAUUUUAUUUUUAAGUAAAAAAGCUUAAAUAUUUUAAAGGGACGAUAAGACCCUAUAAAACUUUAUAAUUUUAUAUAUUAUAAUUUUUGGUUUAUAUAAAUUUUAAUAUUUAGAAUUAUUUUAUUGGGGUGAUAAAAAAAAUUAUUAAACUUUUUUUAAAAUUUAACAUAAAUUAAUGAUAUAUUUGAAUUAAAAUUUUUAUUUAAAUGAAAAAGUUACUUUAGGGAUAACAGCGUAAUUAGUUUUUUAAGUUCAAAUUUAAAAAUUAGUUUGCGACCUCGAUGUUGAAUUAAGAUUAAUCUUAGGUGCAAAAUUUUAAGUUUUAGGUCUGUUCGACCUUUAAAUUCUUACAUGAUUUGAGUUCAAACCGGUGUAAGCCAGGUUGGUUUCUAUCUUUUAAAUAUUAUAUUUAUUUUAGUACGAAAGGAUUAGAUAAAUAAAUUAAAUUUUUUUUAUAAUGAAUUAAAUUAAUUAACUAUUU
rnacentral:rRNA from 1 species